GGCAACUUGGCCGAGCUGGUUAAGGCGUUAGACUCAAGAACAUCUUCUUGCCCUUCAACGGGGUCCAUUCUAAUCACGAAAGUGGCGUGAGUUCGAAUCUCACAGUUGUCA
rnacentral:tRNA from 1 species